AUUGAACGCUGGCGGCAGGCCUAACACAUGCAAGUCGAGCGCGCGGCGGACGGGUGAGUAAUGUGUGGGAAACUGCCUGCUGUAGGGGGAGAACACCUGGAAAAGGUAUCUAAUAUCGCACACCAUCAGAUGUGCCCCGAGGGGAUUAGCUAGUAGGUGGGGUAACGGCUCACCUAGGCGACGAUCCCUAGCUGGUCUGAGAGGAUGACCAGCCACACUGGAACUGAGACACGGUCCAGACUCCUACGGGAGGCAGCAGUGGGGAAUAUUGCACAAUGGGCGCAAGCCUGAUGCAGCCAUGCCGCGUGUGUGAAGAAGGCCUUCGGGUUGUAAAGCACUUUCAGCGGGGAGGCGUUACCCGCAGAAGAAGCACCGGCUAACUCCGUGCCAGCAGCCGCGGUAAUAC
rnacentral:rRNA from 1 species